GCACUCACUUGGCAACACAUAUACUAAAAUAAGAAGAAUACAGACAAGACUGGUCUGACCCUUAUGCAAAGAUGAUACAAAAAUUUGUGUAACACUGCAUAUAUAC
rnacentral:snRNA from 1 species